GACGAGCGCUGGCGGCGUGCUUAACACAUGCAAGUCGAACGGAAAGGCCCUGCUUUUGUGGGGUGCUCGAGUGGCGAACGGGUGAGUAACACGUGAGUAACCUGCCCUUGACUUUGGGAUAACUUCAGGAAACUGGGGCUAAUACCGGAUAGGAGCUCCUGCUGCAUGGUGGGGGUUGGAAAGUUUCGGCGGUUGGGGAUGGACUCGCGGCUUAUCAGCUUGUUGGUGGGGUAGUGGCUUACCAAGGCUUUGACGGGUAGCCGGCCUGAGAGGGUGACCGGCCACAUUGGGACUGAGAUACGGCCCAGACUCCUACGGGAAGCAGCAGUGGGGAAUAUUGCACAAUGGGCGGAAGCCUGAUGCAGCAACGCCGCGUGCGGGAUGACGGCCUUCGGGCUGUAAACCGCGUUCGCCUGUGACGAAGCGUGAGUGACGGUAAUGGGUAAAGAAGCACCGGCUAACUACGUG
rnacentral:rRNA from 1 species